AUCGAUGACCCGCCGAAAAUGGCACGAUCAACGCGUGAGGUUGACGGCGAAGGCUGUCAGGGAAGAACUCCAGUCAUACAGACUCUGACGUUGGAUGAGAUAAACAGCUUUGGCGGAUGGAUGAAUUAAAUAUUCAUGGGGCAGCGCCGGACAGCGCUUAUUCACAGCGGGCCGAGAGGCUCCACCCAGGAAGUCCAGAGCACAGGAGUCCCCUGGAGGGAUGCCGGUCCACUACAGGACACACACAUACACACACAGUCACACCCGCCGGACAACUUAGAGAUGCCAGUUUACCUAACCACAUGUUUUUGGAAGAAACCGGAGUAACGGGUGGAGACUCACAGAUGUGAUGUACUGGUUCCAUGCCCUGAAUCACCACGCCAUCCCCAGUAAAUAAUCCAUACCUACAUUUACAGCUAUUUUAUUUUGCAUUUUGUUUUUCAUUUCCUGUUUAAUAUACCCUGCCUUUUAUAUUUGGAUUCCACUUUGGCGCCUUCAACUGAUAAACUGACGUGUAACCCUGCAUGCAUGCAACAUGAGUGUUUAUGUUUUUGUGGAGCCGGGGGGUAAGGAGAGAGGAGGCCGGGUGUCACGCCCGGCUCGUCCGCUCCUCCUGUGUGCCACGCCCCCUGCUUACCCACGUGUGUUUCCCGAAUUGUACCCAGCUGUUUCCGUUUGCUGUCAUUCAGUCUUGUGUAUUUAAGUCCUGGUCUCCCCAGUUUGCUUUGUCUGUCAUUGAUGUUGUCGGUGCCCAUGUCCUGUCCUGCCUUGCCCUUAUUAAAUCCCCUUCUACCCCGUACUCUGUUUGCCUUGCCUGCUCCUUGCCCGCACGAUCGCCGCUCUGCUCGCGAUCGCUGCCCACGACCC